GAAAGUAUAAAGUGUAACAAGGUUUCCGUAGGUGAACCUGCGGAAGGAUCAUUA
rnacentral:rRNA from 1 species